rnacentral:rRNA from 1 species
GUGGGGAAUCUUCCGCAAUGGACGAAAGUCUGACGGAGCGACGCCGCGUGAGUGAAGAAGGCCUUCGGGUCGUAAAGCUCUGUCAUCAGGGACGAACGGCCGGUGGAGUGGAAAGCCACCGGAUUGACGGUACCUGAGAAGGAAGCCACGGCUAACUACGUGCCAGCAGCCGCGGGAAUACGUAGGUGGCAAGCGUUGUCCGGAAUUAUUGGGCGUAAAGCGCGCGCAGGUGGGAUCUUAAGUCCAUUUUGAAAGUUCGGAGCUCAACUCCGUGAUGGGAUGGAAACUGGGAUUCUUGAGUACCGGAGAGGAAAGCGGAAUUCCCCGUGUAGCGGUGAAAUGCGUAGAUAUGGGGAGGAACACCAGUGGCGAAGGCGGCUUUCUGGACGGUGUCUGACACUGAGGCGCGAAAGCCAGGGGAGCGAACGGGAUUAGAAACCCUGGUAGUCC